rnacentral:rRNA from 1 species
CAAUAGCGUAUAUUAAAGUUGUUGCGGUUAAAAAGCUCGUAGUUGGAGUUCUGCCAGGUGCCGCCUGUCCGCCCCAGUGGUGAGUACGUGGCGCGCAUUUGGCCCUUUCAAGGGGAGCGUAUCUGCACUUUAUUGUGUGGUGCGGGAUCCUUGACUUUUACUUUGAGGAAAUAGGAGUGUUCCAAGCAGGCUCUCGUCGUGCACAGCUCAGCAUGGAAUAAUAGCAUUGGACCUCGAUUCUAAGCUGUUGGUUGCCAGAAGCGAGGUAAUGAUGAAGAGGGAUAGUUGGGGGCAUUCGUAUUUAACUGUCAGAGGUGAAAUUCUUGGAUUUGUUAAAGACGAACAAUUGCGAAGGCAUCUACCCAGGAUGUUUUUGUUGA